rnacentral:rRNA from 1 species
CCCAACCUCAAAGCAGG